rnacentral:rRNA from 1 species
AGUGAACGCUGGCGGUAGGCCUAACACAUGCAAGUCGAACGGCAGCACAGUAAGAGCUUGCUCUUACGGGUGGCGAGUGGCGGACGGGUGAGGAAUACAUCGGAAUCUACUUUUUCGUGGGGGAUAACGUAGGGAAACUUACGCUAAUACCGAAUACGACCUACGGGUGAAAGCAGGGGAUCUUCGGACCUUGCGCGAUUGAAUGAGCCGAUGUCGGAUUAGCUAGUUGGCGGGGUAAAGGCCCACCAAGGCGACGAUCCGUAGCUGGUCUGAGAGGAUGAUCGGCCACACUGGACUUGAGACACGGUCCAGACUCCUACGGGAGGCAGAAGUGGGGAAUAUUGGACAAUGGGCGCAAGCCUGAUCCAGCCAGACCGCGUGGGUGAAGAAGGCCUUCGGGUUGUAAAGCCCUUUUGUUGGGAAAGAAAAGCAGCAGGUUAAUACCCCGCUGUUCUGACGGUACCCAAAGAAUAAGCACCGGCUAACUUCGG